rnacentral:misc_RNA from 1 species
AAGCCACUAACCAACUAGGAGCUUAUCUUCCUUACCUAAGAUUGUCAAAGUGGUGUGGACACCAGCCAGUGAGAGUUUGUCUGUUCUGUAUAGUGUUGCUCAGCGAGAUCUCAUCCGUAUUAGUAAUAUCAUCAUCGCGGAUGUAAUAACUUUUGUCUGAAAUGCCAUGUAGAAUCUUGAAGAAUAUGCUAACUUGUAAGUUAUU